CCAGGCGAGUCCCAGGCUUCUAAAGGACACCAGCAGGUGGCAGGCCCGUGGCUAGAAAAGGCCUGCCCUGGACUCAGUCCAGCAGCCCACCGGCAGGGACAAGCAGGAGCUCCUCAGAGCACCACCAGCAGCCCACCGCCGAGCACAACCAGGAGCUCCACCGCCGAGCACAACCAGGAGCUCCACCGCCGAGCACCACCAGCAGCCCACCGCCGAGCACAACCAGGAGCUCCACCGCCGAGCACAACCAGGAGCUCCACCGCCGAGCACAACCAGGAGCUCCACCGCCGAGCACAACCAGAAGCUCCACCGCUGAGCACAACCAGGAGCUCCACCGCCGAGUACAACCAGGAGCUCCACCGUCGAACACAACCAGGAGCUCCACUGCUGAGCACAACCAGAAGCUCCACCGCUGAGCACAACCAGAAGCGCCACAGAGAACAGGGAGCAGGCGCUGGACUGAGGAGCUCCAGGCUCCCCUUUACCAGAAAGGAGCUCCAGGAUCCGGCCUGCCUUCUGCGCUCGGGCUGCAGGUAAAAUGUGUGGUUUUACGGGUUGAUCCGAUCCCUCCAGGCCAGGACGUCACUGCUCUCAUUCCGAGGGCCGUGAGAGAUCUGGUAUUUAAUCUGGCCGUAAAGAUUAAAUUGAUUCACUUUUAAAUCUACUGGUGAGUACUUCAAUGUUCUGUUCACAGCAGAUGUUAUGGUAUUUAAUACUUUUAAAGUACUUAAACUACAAUUGCAGCUGUAAUAUUAUUGGGAUGGCUCAGUUUACAGGAAUAUUAAUGAUAAAUUCAUACUAAAAUGCAUGUUUUCCAUGACUAACGCAGCUAUGUCCAUACAGACUGUGGCCAUUUUGCUGUUAAAAUCAUUUUGGUUUUGAUAGUGCUGUGACUGAUGUAUAUAUUUCAUAUCAUAUCAACAUUUCAAUCAAGAAAUAGUGAAAAAAGUGAAUGACCUCUCCAGGGGUCAGUAAGCUCAGGGACAUAAGAUAGGGGGGGAGAGGGAGAGAGAGAGGCUGAGAGAGAGAGAGAGAGAGAGAAAGAGAGAGGGGGGAAAGAGAUUGAAAGAAGGAGGGAGUGCCAGAUGAAACUUGUUCCUGCGUCUCUUUGAUCAGAUGUGCGGUUUGUGGCUGUAAGAGCUCCACAUAUAAUUCAGUGAAAAUGAGGAAAGUAAAGGCAUAGUAAGACACCAACGUGAGGCUGUAACAUGAGGAUGUCUGGAGGUGUGUUUGCUUUGGACAGGAAACAUUCCAGGGGCAAAUCGACACCCUUGCCUUCACUGGAAGUAAGCCCUGUGCCCGCCUCCUGCCCCGCCCCCACCACCUCACAUGAUAGCAGUGGAACACAACAAGGGAGAAGAACCAGGACAGGAAGAACCACUCAUCAAGGUACAGGUAAGCCCCACCCCUCCGGCUAAGAGAAGCAGCACGUCCUGCUGUGGCUGGUAAAACGGAACCAAGUCAGGUGUUUCUGCGAGGUUUGGUCCCCUUCAACCAGCUACUGCACCGUGAAAUCAGCCAGCAAGACUGCACAUCAACCAGCUCCUGCACCAUGCAAUCAGCCAGCAAGACCGCGCACCAACCAGCUCCUGCACCAUGCAAUCAGCCAGCAAGACCGCACACCAAACAGCUACUGCACCAUGCAAUCAGCCAGCAAGACCACACAACCAGCUACCCGAACAUCAAAUCAGACAGCAGGCCCACCCUGCCUUAUGUUAAGUGUCCCAGUGCAUACGAGAGCUUCAGCAUUCAAGCUCACCUGUAGGUGGAGUUUUACCUGUGCAGCAGAGCCCAAGCCUCAGGUCCUGUUUCUCUUUCAUUCCCAGCGUCUGCUGGAUGUGGCUCUCACGGCCCCUGGCAGACUGCAGGGCCCACAAGGCCUUUCCAUUACAACUACCAAACACAAGCCUGGCUCUGCUUUCCAUUACAACUACCAAACACAAGUCUGGCUCUGCUUUCCAUUACAACUACCAAACACAAGCCUGGCUCUGCUUUCCAUUACAACUACCAAACACAAGCCUGGCUCUGCUUUCCAUUACAACUACCAAACAAAAGUCGGGCUCCGCUUUCCACAAAAACUACCAAACACAAGCCUGGCUCUGCUUUCCAUUACAACUACCAAACACAAGCCAGGUUCUAGGUUCUGCUCUUAUGAAGUUGUGCUUUUUGCUUCAGUUGUUUCUUGCUCAUUUUAAAUGUUGCUGUAGACCUGUUAUGACUCACAAAUGUCCAAAUGAGAGCCCUGUUGGGCCUUGCAGGCUCCAAUCUCUGAAAAAUAAAACAACCAACGGAACUUUA